GUUUGAAUGAUGACUCUCAAAAAUGUCGGAUACCCCUUCACUCUUUUUAUGAGUGAUAAAAGUAGUAGUCUGACAAAC
rnacentral:snoRNA from 1 species